GGAAGUAGAAGUCGUAACAAGGUCUCCGUUGGUGAACCAGCGGAGGGAUCAUUACAGAGUUGCAAAACUCCCAAACCAUUGUGAACGUUACCCAUCCCGUUGCUUCGGCGGGCGGCCCGGGCCCCGUGCCCGGCGCCCCCCGGCCCCUCGCGGGCGCCCGCCGGAGGUAAACCAAACUAUUGAAUUGUAUGGCCUCUCUGGGUCUUCUGUACUGAAUAAGUCAAAACUUUCAACAACGGAUCUCUUGGUUCUG
rnacentral:misc_RNA from 1 species